GGUUUAGACAAGACCCCUUCGACUGUUAACCAAUUGUUGAAUGUAUACUGUAUGUUUAAACUGUGACGUAUUUUUGCUUUAAGAAGGAGCCCCCACUCCGGGGAAUAAAGCAUUCCUUGGUUUUUCACUGAUCAGAAACUCCGGUGUGAAUUACUUCUAGGGAAAGCGCGCACACAUUAAUCAAUCAAUUUGGAAGGUGUAGAUAGACAAUUUAUCAAAGUUUUCUUUGAUCUAAAACAUUUGGCGCCCGAACAGGGACUGAAAGGGUGGUUACUCC